rnacentral:lncRNA from 1 species
UUCCCUCCCUUUUUUUUAUCUUUUUUCCAGACUUUUUUUCCAUCAUUUUUUUCUCAUUUCCACACCUACUUUCAGACCAAAUUGGGAUGUGGAACCAAGUGUAGCACCCCCUAUUUAUAGGAAAGAAGGGGAACACCAUGGGAUGCCAACUCUUUGCAUCCCAUAUUCCUUACAUGAUAACAAUUAAUUUUAGCGUGUAAACCAAAUAAAUAUAGCAUAGAAUAAGAGGAGUUUUAUCUGUAGAAGGACUCCUCCUCUACAUAGAAAAAUCAUGAUGCCAUCAUAUGGCGUGUGGGAU